GCAUUAAAAAGAAAGAAGUGAUGCUGUGGGAUGACUCUGACACCAAUCUCAUGAAAGCAUGAAGCCCAGGAGACAGCUGCAGCGAAGAGAACAGAAAGGAUGCACAGGAGAAGCAGAACCAAGAGACACAGGGGUGCAAGGAGAAGACACAGAGCAGUGGCCCCUUUCCUGAGACUUUUUGGGGUCUCAACUCCAAGUCUGCGCGUGACCUUGCUGUGCUAAAGGGGUGGUCUAUGUCUUAAGCAAUCCUCUGUCUCCUUCUCUGCCUUUAUGAAGAGCUAGCUUCUUCAUAAAAGAUCUCUGUUCCUUGAAAUCAAUAAAUGCUAAACUAGAAUGAAGAGUAUGCAAGGGGAGGGUGAGGUUGAGGGAGCAUUUCUUAUGUAGAGGUCAGGGCAGAGAGAAUUACCUCAACUCUCUCUGGUUGUGAUACUAUUUUUUUAACCUUCUCAGGUUGAGGAAGAUGAGCACCUGCAGGUCAUUAUGGGAACAUUUUAUCAAGGGAGACUCCACAGGAGGAUACUAAACUGUCAGAAGCUGCCUGCAGUGUUCGAGAUACUGUUGUGCCCACUGGGAUGGUUCAGUGAACACUGUGGUCCCUGAACAAACAUGGGAAGAAUAACAAUUUUUCUUUGUUUGGAAAGAAGAGCUUUUCCAGGAAAGCAGCUCCAAGUGGCAGGAGGUCAUGAAGACUAACUCAGGAUCCCCCGGUCUUCAGCUAGAAUUUAAAGCAAGUUGUUAGAAGCUCAGCAUUUCUUAGAUUUCUCCCAUCUUAUGAUAUUCAGGUUUUUUUCUGCCUUACAAUCGAUAUUCACAUUUGAUUUAAUAUAAUUUCCUCUAAAUCUUAAUAUAAAUGUGAAUAUUUCUAAGAGACAUAUCUUGUACUUCCUGUGAGCUAGCUGCAGAUCCACAGUGGUGUGUAUACUCUAGUUUGAGAAAUAUGAGCUAACUCCUUCAGAAAAUAGGCUCUUUUGCUAUGUUUUAAAGAAUAAGCUACUUCACUUAUGAUUUAAAGCAAUAAUUGUAUGUGAUAUAAAUAUAUAA